AACAUCGCGCACCUGCGGGAACCUGCGGAAGGAUCAUUAUCGAGUUGCAAAACUCCAACCCUUUGUGAACAUACCUCAGUCGUUGCUUCGGCGGUGGACGGCCUGUUUUUCGGAACGGCCGGAAGCCGCCGGAGGUUCCAAACUCGUAUUUUUUAGUGUAUCUCUGAGCCUGAAAACAAAUAAUCAAAACUUUCAGCAACGGAUCU
rnacentral:misc_RNA from 1 species